rnacentral:rRNA from 1 species
AUUGAACGCUGGCGGCAUGCUUUACACAUGCAAGUCGAACGGCAGCGCGGGCUUCGGCCUGGCGGCGAGUGGCGAACGGGUGAGUAAUGCAUCGGAACGUGCCCAGUAGUGGGGGAUAGCCCGGCGAAAGCCGGAUUAAUACCGCAUACGACCUGAGGGUGAAAGCGGGGGACCGAAAGGCCUCGCGCUAUUGGAGCGGCCGAUGUCGGAUUAGCUAGUUGGUGGGGUAAAGGCUUACCAAGGCGACGAUCCGUAGCUGGUCUGAGAAGACGACCAGCCACACUGGGACUGAGACACGGCCCAGACUCCUACGGGAGGCAGCAGUGGGGAAUUUUGGACAAAGGGGGCAACCCUGAUCCAGCCAUGCCGCGUGCGGGAAGAAGGCCUUCGGGUUGUAAACCGCUUUUGUUCGGGAAGAAAUCCUCUGGGCUAAUACCCCGGGGGGAUGACGGUACCGGAAGAAUAAGCACCGGCUAACUACGUG